ensembl:lncRNA
AGAACCAAUGGGUGUGCCUGAGUCUCAUCACCUCUCAACCAGGGAAGCUGUUUCAACCUGGAACACUAUUAUCCUGCGUUGGUCUUUCAGUCAUUGCAGGAAGUCCUGAAGAUCAGCAGUUGUCCCGAUCCUGCCCAAACACCUGACUUAAACAAUCAACAUAACGAAUCACAGCGAUAGGCUAUGAUUUGUAAUCCGGUAUGAGCUGGAACGAAAGCUUGUACACACUCCUGCCAUUCAGAUCUGGAGCUAUCCACCCUGUUCCCAGCAUGCAGGACCCAUUGAUUACAGGGUAUUGAUUAGCUAAACAAGCAAGUCUGUUUGUUUUGUUACCAAGGCAACUACUGUAGCUGUCUAGCAAAAUUGCUAGCUACUUCAGUGUAUUUUGAACACAUUUCUAGCGGUAAAUGUGUUAAAUUAUAGCCGUGGUAUAAAUAGUGCGUUGUGAAACACAUCUACCAUGUUGUUGAUUAUUUUCCAUAGAACGCACAGCCCCUCGUUGAUUAUCCCUUACAUAAUGCAUGUGCCAAUCUCAAGUUGAAGUUGAACUUGUUGACUGAUGCCCAGGCGGUGGCUGCUAAGAAGAAGAAAUGAAUAGCUGCUGACCAGAAGACUGCAGUGAAGGGAGCACUGGUCCACACCUGCCCUGUCUGUCAGCCUCAAUUUAUCAGGACAUGGACUCUACAAGGUGUCAGAACAGCCUCAAUUCAUCAGGACAUGGACUCUACAAGGUGUCAGAACAGCCUCAAUUCAUCAGGACAUGGACUCUACAAGGUGUCAGAACAGCCUCAAUUCAUCAGGACAUGGACUCUACAAGGUGUCAGAAUAGCCUCAAUUCAUCAGGACAUGGACUCUACAUGGUGUCAGAACAGCCUCAAUUCAUCAGGACAUGGACUCUACAAGGUGUCAGAACAGCCUCAAUUCAUCAGGACAUGGACUCUACAAGGUGUCAGAACAGCCUCAAUUCAUCAGGACAUGGACUCUACAAGGUGUCAGAACAGCCUCAAUUCAUCAGGGUAUGGACUCUACAAGGUGUUGAAAGCGUUCCACAGGGAUGCUGGCUCAUGUUGACUCCAAUGCUCCCCACAUUUGUGUCAAGUUGGCUGAAUGUCUUUUGGGUGGUGGACCAUUCUUGAUACAUGCAUGAAAAACCCAGCAGCGUUGCAGUUCUUGACACAAACCAGUACACCUGGCACCUACUAUCAAGCCAAGUUGAAAGGUGCUUCAAUCUUUUGUCUUGCCCAUUCACACUCUGAAUUGCACACAUACUGUACACAAUCCAUGUCUCAAUUGUCUCAGGGCUUAAAAAUCCUUCUUUAACAUGUCUCCUCCCCUUCAUUGAAGUGGAUUUUACAGGUGAUAUCAAUAAGGGAUCAUUGCUUUCACCUGGUCAGUCUAUGUCAUGGAAAGAGCAGGUGUUCUUAAUGUUUUGUCUACCCAGUGUAUGUUAUGUAUAAAAGUCAUAUGUGUGCAUUGUUUAGUAUUUUGAUUUCUUUAAAACAAUGUCAUUGUUGGAGUUCAGAUGUUUGACGUGAUUGUUGGGUGACUAGGUGGGUUCUUAUCAAAUAAAUAUGCCUAAUUCAUUCUGCAAAGGGUUAAUCUGGUUUGACAGAACAUGUCAACAAGUUAGUUCUGAAUUGCUUUAAAUACAGCAGUGCAUUCUGACACCAUGAAUUGAAAUAGAAUUCACCUCGUUCAUAUAGUUGGCAGAAAUGACAAGGGAUUAAAUAUAGACCACUGGCGGAAGGAGGAGAGGAUCUGGUCAAAUAAG